rnacentral:lncRNA from 1 species
UGGAAGAGUUCGAAAAUAAUUAUAAUUUCUCAUUUAAACAUUUUUCUCAUACAUAGACAUCAAGUUCAUAUCGUUUAGUAAUUCACACGAUAGCCUCGUACAAUUAUAGUAAAAAAUGAGACAUUCUCAUAACUCGGUAAAUAUCAUCUCAUUUUCACGACAUAGUUAUGAGCUGAUAUCUAACCAUCAUCUCAUCACAUCGUAUGUGAUCCACAAAAAAUGUACUCUUUGACUAAAAUCUGAAAUUCGGCCCUCGAGCUGAGCACUUUUGCCACCGGCCUUUGGCCCCCUUCGUGC